GAUGGGCAGAAGGGGAGAGAAAGUGGCCACCAGGAGACAGGUUAGGAGACCACGGUUGUCAUUUAAGCUAGAGAUAAGAAGGUCUGAGCUAGAAGAAUGGCUGUGGGCAGAGAGAGGGGGUAGGGAUGCAGGCCACAGGGCCUGGAGCAAUUAGCUGACAAGAGGAGAGUCCACAUGCGGCCAAGUGAGGAGCCUUAGAGAUCUGGACUCUCCCAGGGCUGAGACAGCUGUGUGCUAGCUACACUUCUGGGCGGGCUCAUACUUGGCUGCCGGGAUGGUGUUCAAAGGAGUCAGGACAGCUAACAACACUCCUGAUGGCCUGCAAAUAACCAGCCCCUUGGACCACUAGGAUGACAACACUGGUAAUACAUCUGUCAACUGUGCAGGAUGUCUGAGGAACAGGAUUAGGAGCUUGAAAACACCUGUCCAGACGGGAAAGAGAAGUACCAGCAGACAUGACCCAUGCGUGAAUGCACCACUUAAUUCUGAUGGACAGAAAAGGAAAACAAGCCUUCAAACAACUUUGAGAUAGAAGUGAUGCAGAAUGAGGAUGAGACGUGCUCAGAAGGUACCUGAUUCCUUCCUCUCCGGGGUUUGGAAGUGCCGGGUUCCUCUCCCUACAGAAAAGCUGACAGCCUGGAAGGGAACAGCCAGCGGAAGAGGAAAGCUGCCUACACUAGCUUGGGAGCCAGAGUGCCGUAAACCAACCCCACUUUAGCUUGAAGAGAC